rnacentral:tRNA from 1 species
GUCUUCGUGGUGUAAUGGUCAGCACACUCGACGGGUAUUCUAGAGGUCCGUGGUUCGAGUCCCGGCGAAGGCA